AUGUGGAUUCUAGGACAACGUACAGAGUUUUCAUUCAAUAAGUUCUUCAUCUUCCGAUGCAAUUGAACUAGACAUGGCUAUGGUGUUUGUCUACUUGCAGGUCAUCCAUCGAUCACCCUCCAAUUCAAACAUUGGGAUUGAAGUCUAUUGUAAGUUGAGUAAUUUAUAUUCUGCAAAAUAUUAGUGUCAAAUUGCUUCUUUCCAUCCAAAUUGCCUCAAAUGACCUCUUAGAGACCGAGACGAUUUGCAGAUCUAAGAGGACUUCAGUGGGCUAUUGUUGUGAGAAUUUUCCUUCUUCUCCUUUGUCCUCUAUCCCGAUUGACUCCCUUAGAUUUUUUUUUACUGAAGGGCUAUUACAGUAUUUCCUGAGUCAAUGCUCUUCUGUUAACUGAUUCUGCACUUGUAUUUACUCAUUGAUUAUUUUUUAUCAAUUUCGUAGCAGAUAAUGGUACUAAGAACUUAAUGAGAAUAGAGAAAGGCUAUCUGAACAAAAUUUCACAAGAUAUGUUGUAUGGGUUAUAUGUCCGGAGUGAUAUAUUGCUAUGUAAGAAAUCGUUCAACUGGAACUGGACAAAGAAAGACGAUCUUGUUACAAGAAAAUGGCCUUAGAGGUAAUCAGCUUGAUCAAAGCAAACAGGUGUACCUCUUACAUGGAAAUAUCAAAGCAAACAUGUGUACCUCUUGCAUGGAAACACUAAGAGUUGAAUAUGAUAUCGUUGGCCCAGACGAGGACACACAGGUACCGCUUUUCUUUCUCACUUCCCUCUUUUUCCUCCUUAUAAGUGUGUAAACAUGGGAAAAAUGCAGGUAGCAAAAAAAAAUUUCUUUAUUGCUUCUAAUUGUUCUUUACUGGAUAUGAAUUUCUCAUAAACUAAGUUGAUCAAUUUAAUUUUCCUUUAUUCACUACUCAUAGGUCCCUCAAGUUGUUGGAAAUGAAACUGGUUUGGCAAAAUGUAGAAAUGAGAAACGAAAAUGGAAAGAGAGCGAGAGAGGGACAAUAGUACACUGCUGAUACUUCUAAUUUUUAUGAUAUCAUUUGUGUUUUUAAUUAUAUUUGCUCCUGUCAUGUGAGCACAAUUCAUGAGCUAUAAUCUUUUUUUUUUUCUAUAUAAUUGUGUCUCAUUUGCUAAAUUUUCAUGAAUUUCCGACACAAUCACUAGGGGAAGCAGCGUCUAAUGUUUGUUGUUUAUAGAUAACACAUGAUGUCUCUGAAGCUAAGAAUCUCAUUAGUCAGGUAAGCUUGUUAGAGGUGAAAAAAAGAAAGUAAGUUUAUUAGAAGGUAUGUAUGCGUCAAUUUGGUGAAGAAGAAUGCACAACAAUAUUACAUUUGCUUGUCCAGUUCUUGCGGACAACUUCUCAAAGAGACUUUCCCUUCAGAAGAUCUUGAAGCACCUGUGGAUAGUCAAGAAUGCUGAUUCGAAUGUAGAACUCUGAAAGUGACAUUUCUGGCUGCUCUCUCCUUGUAUCUUUUGACCAGUUUGCACCAGUUGAUUUUCAAUAUAACACAAAAUUUGACUGGAGAUCCAUGGUAAAAAUGAAAUUAUCGAAGUUGCAGGAAAUGAAGUCAACAAAAUUAAAAGUUCUUUGGGAAAGAAGCUGGAUUUGGUGAAUCUGCAGGAAGGCACAUUUAGUUACUGAAACACAAGAUGCAGUGAAUUUUCCUGUUGAAUCUAUAGAGUCUGGAAUGCAGAAUUGUGCCACGAGAAGAUGGCAACUAUGAGCAGAACUCGAAACAUUUCUACAUUGAGCGCUAAGAGACACGGAUGAUCGUUGGAUUAAGGCUAGUGAUCUGAUUGUCUGACCGACCUGCUGAGAUUACCACAAGUUCAUCCUGGACAGCGAAAACUAUGUCGAGGUAUUUUCAGUCAAAAACUGCAAAGAAGAAGACUAAAUACCGUAUGGAAAAAGCAUCACUGUUUGCCAAUAUGUAAAUAGUAUUAGAAUGUAAAUGAUUCUCCGACAUAUGAUGUAAAGAAUGUGACACUUUAUACUUUUAUGGAUGUAAAUAAUGUAUCGCUUGCCAACAAUAGAACAUCCAUUAGUGGAUAUUUUGUUCCAAAAUAUUAUGUGAAUAAUAUCCAGCUGAUUUGCAUCAA